AAUGUCUGCCGCACAUGCUCAAAUGGCCUCUGCGAGACCCAUGUCUAGAUUUUUCCCUGAUCUAGGGAGUCAGAAGAAUGCAAAGUUGUUGGCAAGGGACCCAAGCAUUUAAAAAACAGAUAUAAAUGGCACGAAAGUAUUCAUCCAUUGUGGAAUGGACUGCACCUAAUCCAACCCCUAAUCUAACAUACCUUUAUGUAGGCAGUUAGGGUCAGCAUUGGGGCUCAGCCAACUUGAGCUCUAGCUGAGAGCCCAGGGCAAUCAAAGGUCUCAGUCAAAUAAGACGGUGGCUUCCAGGACAGUGACCAAGAAGUGCUUCAGGCUGCUGCUACCACCACCAAGCAGCCUUCUUGACAGAGACCUCUGCAAGGACUGAGACCCUGGGCCAUUGUCCAGGACUCCUUGGUUCAGUCAGACCAGACUUUGCUUCUGAAAUUCAAACCUGUAUUAGGAGAAGAUUUGGAACAGGAUGCUAUUCUCUGACAGCGCUAUGGAAUUUUUAAAAUUUC